rnacentral:rRNA from 1 species
CGCGGAUCUUCCAGAGAUUAGAGUUUGAUCCUGGCUCAGAUUGAACGCUGGCGGCGUGCCUAACACAUGCAAGUCGAGCGGUAACAGGUGUAGCAAUACAUGCUGACGAGCGGCGAACGGGUGAGUAAUGCAUUGGAAUCUUCCCAGUAGUGGGGAAUAACCAGUCGAAAGAUUGGCUAAUACCGCAUACGUCUGUGAAGAGAAAGCGGGGGAUCGUAAGACCUCGCGCUAUUGGAUGAGCCAAUGUCGGAUUAGCUAGUUGGUGAGGUAAUGGCUCACCAAGGCGACAAUCCGUAGCUGGUCUGAGAGGACGACCAGCCACACCGGAACUGAGACACGGUCCGGACUCCUACGGGAGGCAGCAGUGGGGAAUAUUGGACAAUGGGGGAAACCCUGAUCCAGCGACGCCGCGUGUGUGAAGAAGGCCUGCGGGUUGUAAAGCACUUUUAGUGGGGACAAAAAGUCACGGGCUAACACCGCGUGAUCUUGAUUUAACCUACAGAAAAAGCACCGGCUAACUCUGUGCCAGCAGCCGCGGUAAUACAGAGGGUGCGAGCGUUAAUCGGAAUUACUGGGCGUAAAGCGCGCGUAGACGGUUUGGUAAGUCAGAU